rnacentral:lncRNA from 1 species
AGAGAGCCAAGGAGAGAAGGGCCAGGGAGGACACAGCUGGCUGGCUGCCUGAGGCCCCAGGGUCCUUCCUGGCUCCCUGUCCAGGCUCCACCCACAGUCACAGCAAUGCCUGGAACCUUCUAGGACAGCCAGAUCCUGACCUACCAGUAUGGGAUCCCCACCUCUCUCCGGAACACAGGCCAGCAGUGGGACUUCCCUAAUGGCUGGGCCCCUCUCCAGGACCUGGUCAUCAGAGGCUUGGCCAAGUCAUCUUCACCUCGGACCCAGGAAGUGGCUUUCCAGCUGGCCCAGAAUUGGAUUCGAACCAACUUUGACGUCUACUCACAAAAGUCAGCCAUGUAUGAGAAGUACCGGGAUUGAACUCAGAACCUUGUGCUUGUGAGGCAGGUUAAUUUUUACCAGCUGUUCCUCAGACAAAGGUCUACUAUCUAAAAUAUAUAAAGAACUAAAAAAAAAUCAUACGCUCCAAAUAUAAAGACCCAGUUCAAAAAUGGGCAUCUGAAAUGAACAGACGUUUCUCAAAGAAGUAAAAGCAGCAAAUAAAUAUAUGAAAAAAUGUUCAACGUCACUGGUCAUUCAAGAGAUGCAGAUGAAAACAACACUGAGAUUCCAUCUCACCCCAGUAAGAAUGGCUGCUAUCAAGAAAUCAACCAAUAACAAAUGCUGGCAGGGUUUUGGGGGAAAAAGGAACCCUGCUCCACUGCUGGUGGGAGUGCAGACUGGUGCAACCACUGUGGAAAUCAGUGUGGAGAUACCUCAAAGAACUAGGACUAGAGGUCCCAUUUGACCCCGCUAUUCCUCUGCUGGGUAUCUUCCCAAAAGAAGUCAAAGAAUGAUACCACAGUGAUAUAUGCUCACCCAUGUUUAUAGCAGCAGAGUUUGUAAUAGCUAAAACUUGGAAACAGCCCAAGUGCACAUCAACUGGAGACUGGAUAAACAAGAUGUGGUUUUUUUAAUAAAAUGGAGUACUUACUACUUGCCCAUAAAGAAUGAGAAACUAGAGACAUUUAUAGAUAAAUGGAUGCAUAUUGAGGCCAUACUCUUAAGUGAAAUAAAUAGGACACACAUGUGUAAAUACCGAAUAGUUUCUCUGGUGUGAAAAACUAAAAGUGUAAAUAAGGAUCAAAAUGUAUAAUUGAUAUUGUGAAAUAGGAAGAAAACAUCUAAAGGAGUAAGGGAAGUGGGAGGGGUAGGGAAAAGGAAAGAAGGGAAAAGAAAAAAUAUGAG